GCAUACGAUCGUUGAUUGUAAGNCCGACCUAGAGCAGAUAUGCUAGGACCCGAAAGAUGGUGAACUAUGCUUGAGUAGGGCGAAGCCAGAGGAAACUCUGGUGGAGGCUCGUAGCGGUGCUGACGUGCAAAUCGCUCGUCAAACUUGAGUAUAGGGGCGAAAGACUAAUCGAACCAUCUAGUAGCUGGUUUCCUCCGAAGUUUCUCUCAGGAUAGCAGGCCCAAAUAUUAUGAUUGUUGUGUGUGGUAAAGCGAAUGAUUAGCAUACUCGGGGUCGUUUAGACUCUGGAUGAUUCUCAAACUUUAAAUGCGCACGGAUGUUGCCGCUUGGGUGGGCGGCAUCUCUAAAAACUUGGGCUUUGUGGGCCACUUUUGGUAAGCAGAACUGGCGAUACGGGAUGAACCGUAAGUGUGGUUAAGGCGUCAAAUUGUCCGCUUAUAGAUUCCAAAAAAGGUGUUGAUUCAUCGAGACAGCAGGACGGUGGCCAUGGAAGUCGGAAUCCGCUAAGGAGUGUGUAACAACUCACCUGCCGAAUGAAUUAGCCCUGAAAAUGGAUGACGCUAAAGCGGGCAGCCGACACCACACCGUUUGGGCAAAAUGAACGUCUAAAUGAGUAGGAGGAACGUGGCGGUCGUGUCGAAGCGUGCGUGCAAACGUGCGUGGAACGGCCGCUAGUGCAGAUCUUGGUGUUAGUAGCAAAUAUUCAAAUGAGAACCUUGAAGGGCGAAGCGGGGAAGGGUUCCACGCGAACAUUGAUUGAGCGUGGGUAAGUCGUUCCUAAGCCGCGUGGCAAUAGCUAAUUACCGGCGAAAGGGAAGCAGGUUGAUAUUCCUGCACACGGAUGUGGAAGCGGUGACGCAUACUUGGGACGGUGAAGCUGGCGAUGGCUCUGGGCAGAGUUUUCUUUUCUGUUUAACUAACUAUGCUCGCAGUGUGGAAUCCGCUUGUCGGGAGAAACACGCGGGUCUGGGAAUAGCGCCGGGUUUUUUUCCGGCGUCCAGAACGCCAUCGUCGGACCUUGAAAAACUGUCUGCAGGCGAUUUUAAAUUGUCUUAUGUAAUCCACGCCGUGACGUACCGAUAACCGCAGCAGGUCU
rnacentral:rRNA from 1 species